rnacentral:lncRNA from 1 species
CCCUAUUGGGAUUAACGUAUUGAUACCGAAUGGUACCAAAAUUUCUCUGUAAAUUAGGAGCCUCAACAAGAAACUGAGGGUGGAAAGAUAAUGGUUGGACCUCUUGAGUUUUGUAACAAUGGCAAUAGUUAUCCCUUGAAAAUGACAUUCACAAAUCCUCUAGAUUUAGAAAACUGUAGAGUCCGAGUACCCCAUCAAUAAACUCCACCACCCAAGUCUAGCUAGGAAUGCUGAAAGGCCUUACAAAAGGGAACUCAAUGGGCUCAACACCUCCCAUAAAUCCUGUUAUAUUCUAGUUGUAUUGUCAUCUCUAACCCCCCAAAAGAAUCUCAGUUUCAAGGCAUGAAUAGCAGCUAAAAUACUAGACCAUGCGAAUGAAGGUUUAUCAAACAUGCUUAGCUUUCAAAACAUCUCCAUUAGGAAAUUCUGUCGAUGAAAGCACUUUGGAGCAAUAGGUUUCCUUGUUAUGCAUAAAUUUCCAUGCUUGUCUCCCCAAAAGGGCAAGGUUAAACAAUUUAACACUUGAAAACCAAACCCUCCCAUACCAUUUGAUCGUCAAAUGAUGACCCAGUCCAACAUCACCCAACCUCACUCCUCAUGCUUACCCAACUACUAGAACUGUUUAAUAGCAGAAACAAUGACAUUAGUCACACUAUUAGAUAACAAGAAACAACUCAUUGCAUAAGCCAGAAUAUCUGCAAUAUUGAUUUUACAAAAACCUCUCGACCUCCAACACAAAGAAAUUGUUUGGACCAACUAUGAGUACGUUUAUAAACUUUGUUUAUCAUAAGUUGUAAAUUGGCAAAUUUAAUCUUACCUGUAAAUCGCCCUUCACUCGAUAUGCAUAUGCCCAACUAAUCCUUACAAAUGGUAAGCUAU